rnacentral:rRNA from 1 species
AACGAACGCUGGCGGCAUGCCUAACACAUGCAAGUCGAACGAAGCCUUCGGGCUUAGUGGCGCACGGGUGCGUAACGCGUGGGAAUCUGCCCUUGGGUUCGGAAUAACAGUUAGAAAUGACUGCUAAUACCGGAUGAUGUCUUCGGACCAAAGAUUUAUCGCCCAAGGAUGAGCCCGCGUAGGAUUAGGUAGUUGGUGGGGUAAUGGCCCACCAAGCCGACGAUCCUUAGCUGGUCUGAGAGGAUGAUCAGCCACACUGGGACUGAGACACGGCCCGGAAUCCUACGGGAGGCAGCAGUGGGGAAUAUUGGACAAUGGGCGAAAGCCUGAUCCAGCAAUGCCGCGUGAGUGAUGAAGGCCUUAGGGUUGUAAAGCUCUUUUACCAGGGAUGAUAAUGACAGUACCUGGAGAAUAAGCUCCGGCUAACUCCGUGCCAGCAGCCGCCGUAA